UACGGAGGGUGCAAGCAUUAAUCGGAUUUAUUGGGCGUAAAGGGCGUGUAGGCGGGGAGAUAAGUCAGAUGUGAAAUCCCGGGGCUCAACCUCGGAACUGCAUUUGAAACUAUCUUUCUUGAGGAUAGGUGGGGAGAACAGAAUUCCACGUGUAGCGGUGAAAUGCGUAGAUAUGUGGAGGAAUACCGGUGGCGAAGGCGGUUCUCUAACUUACACCUGACGCUGAGGCGCGAAAGCAAGGGGAGCAAACAGG
rnacentral:rRNA from 1 species